rfam:Prosthecochloris aestuarii DSM 271, complete genome.
GCUGAUGUAGCUCAGUCGGUAGAGCACUUCCUUGGUAAGGAAGAGGUCAUCGGUUCAAGUCCGAUCAUCAGCU